GAUGAACGCUGGCGGCGUGCCUAAUACAUGCAAGUCGAGCGAACGGACGAGAAGCUUGCUUCUCUGAUGUUAGCGGCGGACGGGUGAGUAACACGUGGAUAACCUACCUAUAAGACUGGGAUAACUUCGGGAAACCGGAGCUAAUACCGGAUAAUAUUUUGAACCGCAUGGUUCAAAAGUGAAAGACGGUCUUGCUGUCACUUUUAGAUGAAUCCGCGUUGCAUUAGCUAGUUGGUAAGGUAACGGCUUACCAAGGCAACGAUGCAUAGCCGACCUGAGAGGGUGAUCGGCCACACUGGAACUGAGACACGGUCCAGACUCCUACGGGAGGCAGCAGUAGGGAAUCUUCCGCAAUGGGCGAAAGCCUGACGGAGCAACGCCGCGUGAGUGAUGAAGGUCUUCGGAUCGUAAAACUCUGUUAUUAGGGAAGAACAUAUGUGUAAGUAACUGUGCACAUCUUGACGGUACCUAAUCAGAAAGCCACGGCUAACUACGUG
rnacentral:rRNA from 1 species